AUUGAACGCUGGCGGCAGGCCUAACACAUGCACGUCGAAUGAGUGGCGGACGGGUGAGUAAUGUCUGGGAAACUGCCUGAUGGAUGUGGCUAACUACUGGCAACGGUAGCUAAUACCGCAUACCAUCGGAUGUGCCCAGAUGGGAUUAGCUAGUAGGUGGGGUAAAGGGUCACCUAGGCGACGAUCCCUAGCUGGUCUGAGAGGAUGUCCAGCAACACUGGAACUGAGAAACGGUCCAGACACCUGCGAGAGGAGGCAGUGGGGAGUAUUGGACAAUGGGCGAAAGCCUGAUGAAGCCAAGGCGCGUGUUUGAAGAAGGCCUACGGGUUGUAAAAUACUUUCAGCGGGGAGGCGUUAUCCACAGAGGAAGCACCGGCUAACUCCGUGCCAGCAGCCGCGGUAAUAC
rnacentral:rRNA from 1 species